AGCAGCCGCGGUAAUUCCAGCUCCAAUAGCGUAUAUUAAAGUUGUUGCAGUUAAAAAGCUCGUAGUUGAAUUUCGGGGUUAGUAGGCUGGUCAUGCCACCGGUAUGUACUGGUCUUUCUGAUUCCUCCUUCCUGGUGAACUGUAAUGCCAUUAAUUUGGUGUUGCAGGGAAUCUGGACUGUUACUUUAGAAAAAAUUAGAGUGUUUAAAGCAGGCUAACGCUUGAAUACAUUAGCAUGGAAUAAUGAAAUAGGACGCUCGAUCCUAUUUUGUUGGUUUCUAGGAUUGACGUAAUGAUUAAUAGGGAUAGUUGGGGGCAUUAGUAUUCAAUUGUCAGAGGUGAAAUUCUUGGAUUUAUUGAAGACUAACUACUGCGAAAGCAUUUGCCAAGGAUGUUUUCAUUAAUCAAGAACGAAAGUUAGGGGAUCGAAGACGAUCAGAUACCGUCGUAGUCUUAACCAUAAACUAUGCCGACUAGGGAUCGGAUGAUGUUAAUUUUUAAUGACUCAUUCGGCGUCCG
rnacentral:rRNA from 1 species